rnacentral:rRNA from 1 species
AGAGUUUGAUCCUGGCUCAGGAUGAACGCUAGCUACAGGCUUAACACAUGCAAGUCGAGGGGCAGCAUCAUCAAAGCUUGCUUUGAUGGAUGGCGACCGGCGCACGGGUGAGUAACACGUAUCCAACCUGCCGACAACACUGGGAUAGCCUUUCGAAAGAAAGAUUAAUACCGGAUGGUAUAGUUUUCCCGCAUGGGGUGACUAUUAAAGAAUUUCGGUUGUCGAUGGGGAUGCGUUCCAUUAGGCAGUUGGCGGGGUAACGGCCCACCAAACCAACGAUGGAUAGGGGUUCUGAGAGGAAGGUCCCCCACAUUGGAACUGAGACACGGUCCAAACUCCUACGGGAGGCAGCAGUGAGGAAUAUUGGUCAAUGGACGAGAGUCUGAACCAGCCAAGUAGCGUGAAGGAUGACUGCCCUAUGGGUUGUAAACUUCUUUUAUACGGGAAUAAAGUGGAGUAUGCAUACUCCUUUGUAUGUACCGUAUGAAUAAGGAUCGGCUAACUCCGUGCCAGCAGCCGCGGUAAUACGGAGGAUCCGAGCGUUAUCCGGAUUUAUUGGGUUUAAAGGGAGCGUAGGCGGGUUGUUAAGUCAGUUGUGAAAGUUUGCGGCUCAACCGUAAAAUUGCAGUUGAUACUGGCGACCUUGAGUGCAACAGAGGUAGGCGGAAUUCGUGGUGUAGCGGUGAAAUGCUUAGAUAUCACGAAGAACUCCGAUUGCGAAGGCAGCUUACUGGACUGUAACUGACGCUGAUGCUCGAAAGUGUGGGUAUCAAACAGGAUUAGAUACCCUGGUAGUCCACACAGUAAACGAUGAAUACUCGCUGUUGGCGAUACACAGUCAGCGGCCAAGCGAAAGCAUUAAGUAUUCCACCUGGGGAGUACGCCGGCAACGGUGAAACUCAAAGGAAUUGAC